UAUAUAUAUAUAAUUUUGAUUUAUAGUUUUUAUAUAGAUGAAAUGGACCAUAUCUAAAACAUUUAUCGAAAUGUCAAUUUUUCUUGUAUUUUUCUUGUAAAAUCUACAAAACUAGUAAUAAUAUAACAUGUUUUGUUUUCGUAUUUUUUAAAUCUUAGAAUGUUUUUUCUUGUCUUUCUGCCUCAACGCAAAACGAGCUGAUGCUAAACAAAUAUUUUAAUAAAAUAUGCAGAUUUGGGAUUUUAUCUUCCAUGUUUGACAUCAAAGCGCCCCUGGAGUCUCUUUGAUGUCCAUGUCUUCUCUGCGCCUCUGGAGUCUGGGAUCUUCAGCCGAGAGCUGAGCGCCCCUCCGUCCAGACGGAUCUAAAUUCUCUCUCUGUAAUUAUGUAAAUGUAGUGUUUGUAUUUAUAGGCAGAAGCCACAGGCUGCUGGCCUCAACCUGACGCAGCUGGAAAGCAUCUUGGUCUAAACUAUAAUACCCGACUCCACAAGCUUGAGUGGGGGUUCAAGAAUAGCACUCGUGCGACGUCCUUCACUCGCCAUAAACGUCUCCGUUUUCUGGAGACUUCGUUUUCCAGUGGCUUCAAAGAAGCCCGUAAUAAGAGACUAGCAACCGACAUCCAAUAGGUCAGACUGAACAUGACAGGCAAAGACAACAGAGACCUGAUGAAUAUAUAUAUAUUCAAAUUUAGUUUAAUAUUUACAAUAAAUACAGUACUUACAAUAUAAAAUGUAUGUACACAAUCUUAUAAAACCCCAGGACCUCAAGCCCUAGAGCAUACGGUGCAACGAGGCCCUGACCACAUUUGAAAAGAAAUGCAAACACAUUUGAACACACAGCUCUAUUUGUUGCAUAGUAGCAAGGCAGUUUCAAGAGCAAAACAUUGUCGUUGUGCAUUUUACAAUUUACAUUAAACUGGAGGUUUGCUAGUCAUCAGGCUUUGCACUCUUCGUGGCUUUGGAAAGGCACCGUUAAACAUACAUGCUGUCUCCCGAUCGGACACAGAUUCAUAGGACCAGCCCUUCAGGAUGCUUUUUACCCCAAAAAGGCAUUAAAAAGAGCUCUGCUUAAUCUAUGUAGUACCAGCUACUUGUUUCAAAAGUACACUCGUAAAAAUAAAGGUUCUUUUUUUGGCAUCAACGGUUCCAUGAACCUUCUACAUCAAUGGAACCUUUCCAAGGUUCUUUAUAGUGGAAAAAGUUCUUUAUUUGUUCUUCAAAUAGUUCUGAAAGGUUCUUUAUUGGCAUUGAUGGUUCCAUGAAGAACCUUUAACAUCCAUGGAAC
ensembl:lncRNA